rnacentral:rRNA from 1 species
AUGUCAUGGUCGCCCGCGGAAGCUCCGUCAUCGUCGGGAUCAUUCCUCUGGCCUCGGCACCGGAUCCGCGCAUCCUUGAUGUUUCCCGCGCCUCUGCCUGUGUUGCUGCGUCGCCAGAGGUCGCCUCACGACGCCAAGUUCGCCUUCACCGCUCCCCGGCAACAACGCUGUUGCCUCUCUUGCGCUGCUUCUCCUGCCCGAGCUCCUCAAGUCAAGCCGGAGAUCCCUCGCAUCAAGCCGCUGCCGCUUCGAUCGCGCGAUGCUGCGCCUUCGCCAAGCUCCGCCAUCGCGCCCUGCUUCCCCUGUUUCGAGCAGACGAACAAGGCAGCCAUGGCCCUGUUUGACCGAACCGGACACAACCACGAGCGAACGCGCCCUUCCUUCGCCUUCGUUGACCGCGCCGCCCCAGCCCAGAUCCAGCCAGGCCCAGUCAGGCCAGAUCCGCACCGCCCUCGCUGGCUUUCCUCUUCACCAGCGGGCCAAGCCCAUGGGUUAGAAUGCGCCCAGCACCUCCCCUGUUCCUGCUGGGCCAGGAAGAUUCGGCCCGUAGUGUUUUUUUUCGUUGCUGCGAAUUUAGCUAAUUUCCACAGGAUUGUUGUUUUACAGAAAAGCCCUUGUUGA